UAUGGAUCCCAAAAGUUCAAGUAAAGGAACAAGUUAAGCAGGUAGGCUACAUCUACCACUCUAUGAGCUUGUGUUACAAACUUUAUCUCAAUCAAGAGUAGAGGAUGAUGAACAUGAGGAGGGGGAAUAUUUCAAAAGAGAUGAUCCAAAUGCUAAUAGCCCUUCCAUUGAAGAGUUGGUCAAAACUUUCAGCAUUGAUAGUUAUCCUGUGAGAAUGCAGUGCGAUGGUGC
rnacentral:lncRNA from 1 species